UUUCCGUAGGUGAACCUGCGGAAGGAUCAUUAUCGUACAAAAUGUGAGGGGCGUGCGAGGGCUGUCGCUGACCCGAAAGGUCGUGCACGCCCGAGUGCCCUCACACACAUCCAUCUCACCCCUAUGUGCACCACCGCGUGGGUCCCCCUUUGGCUUGUUCGGAGGGGGGCUUACGUUUUCACACAAACUUUGUAUGCAGUGUAGAAUGUAUUUUUUGUUUUUGCGAUCACGCAAUCAAUACAACUUUCAACAACGGAUCUCUUGGCUCUC
rnacentral:misc_RNA from 1 species